UACCUUUGCAUCGAAUUAUAGAAGUACUAUGAUUCUGCAUAAAAAUCAUUAAAUAAUAUUGGCAUG
rnacentral:ncRNA from 1 species